AGGUUUCUCCAGCAUGAAGUCACUCUCGUUUCCCUUGUGGGGAGAAGUGGAAGGAAGGACGCACGAGAGCCAGCCUGCGACACCUAAGGACAGAAACACCUCCCUCAGCCCAGCCGGCUGCUGACUCCAUGCGAAGAGGGACACCAACCCUUACAAUCUCACAGUGUCCUGCCCCUGCCCCUGCCCCUGUGAGGGCGAUGCUCCUUCCAUCAAAACCAGAGUGUCCCAGCUCUAGAUUCCCCACCCAAUCUCCUGUGGCUGUCUCAGCACCUCCGUCGUGAAUCCGUGCAUCCCUUCAGACGACUGCCUUCCGAUGCGGCCCCUGACCUGCCCCCCCUCCCAUCACUGAAUAGGACUCCUUUUCUCCUGGAUUUCCUGUAGGAAGUUUCAAAAUGCUCUCCAGGUUUUCUGUGGGUGGAUUAUCUCUCUGGAUCUUUCUAAGUGAGUCCUGUGUUUCACCACAGCUCCCCCCACACAGUUGAGCAGCUAUACCGUGGGGAGGCUUGGUCCUCUUGCCCCAUUUGUGUGAUGUCUAUUGUAGUCAUGCCAGGGGCCUGACGUCAGAGCUCCACCCUGACAUGUGCUCAUGCCGGUUUACAAACCCUCCCAGGACCAGGCCCCCAUCCCUCUUCCAGGACAGGCUCUGGAGCUCCAGCUAUUAACAGAAACAUUCCAGCCAGCAUCCCCAGCGACCCUCAGCCUCCCACGCCGCUGUGUCUUCAUGACCACAGCCUGGCCACCACACAGCUCCCCCUCGAGGACUGUGACCACUUCCAGCCAUGGUCUCUUUGGGCCAUGCGGGAUAUAUUCCCAUUUCCCCAUUCAGCUGGGAGAUUUUACCAAGGGAUUUUUCUCUCCUGGCUCCAAUGCCAGCAAGACCAUGAACAGCUGUGUCAUUUUCACUUUCAAGCCUCAGCUUCUGUACAUAAAAGAAUACAGUUAAUAAUGAUUUCCUCCUCCUGAGUUGCUAUCGAAUGAAAUGAGGUUAUGCACACACAUGGCAAGGACCUGCGUCUGGCAGGAACAACAUCUCGUUCAUCGUCACGAGUGCUUCCCCUUGUGUCUUCCCUCCUGUGUGUGAGAUGGGGGCUCCCAGGCCUCCCCAACAAAAUACACUUUUCCAGCUUUUAGAGGCCAGCAUUCCUAACUCCUUGCAAUAAAUCCCUAUCAUAGUACAAAUGUAAACACAUCACGGUAUAACUCAAAUCAACUGCCCCUGAUUUUGCCAUGUUUCAACCUUUUGUUGCCAUCGGCCUCCUAAACAAUGGCUUUAAUGGAAACACAGGUAUGUAAGCUUGGAAGCUGCUCAAACAUCUCAGUCAUUCAGAAAUAAAACACUUGUUGAGCAGCUAGUCUGUGCCAGUUGUAUUAGAGUUCUCCAUAGAAACAGAACCAAUAGGAUGUACAC
rnacentral:lncRNA from 10 species